GCCUGUUUAUCAAAAACAUUUCUGAGGGGAAAAUGUUUUUGGUUUAACCUGCUCAAUGCUUAAGUAAAUAGCUGCAGUAUUUUGACUGUACAAAGGUAGCAUAAUCAUUAGUCUUUUGAUUGGAGGCUUGUAUGAAUGGUUGAACAGAAUAUUAACUUUUUUAGUUACAUGAAUUUUUAAUUUAUAGUUUAUGUAAAAAUGCAUAAUUAUUUAAAAGGGACGAUAAGACCCUAUAGAAUUUAAGAAUAAUUUUGAAAAUUAUUUAUUUUUUUGUUGGGGUGACAGUAAAUAAACUUUUACGUUCUAUUCAUUGAUAAAUGGUUGGUUGAUCCUAAAUUUUUAGAGAAGAAGAUAAAGUUACCUUAGGGAUAACAGCAUAAUUUUUUUUAAAAGAUCUUAUUAAUAAAAAAGAUUAUGACCUCGAUGUUGAAUUAAAAUAAAAUUUAGGUGUAGAAGCUUAAUUUUUUAGUCUGUUCGACUUUAAAUUUUACAUGAUCUGAGUUCAGACCGG
rnacentral:rRNA from 1 species